GCCUGGGUGGCUCAGUCGGUUGAGCGUCUGACUUCAGCUCAAGUCACGAUCUCACGGUUCGUGGGUUCAAGCCCCGUGUCGGGCU
rnacentral:tRNA from 1 species